AAUGAACGCUGGCGGCAGGCCUAAAACAUGCAAGUCGAACGCCCUAGCAAUAGGGAGUGGCGCACGGGUGAGUAACAUGUGGGAAUAUGCCUUUUGGUACGGAACAACGUUUGGAAACGAACGCUAAUACCGUAUGGUCCCUCCGGGGUAAAGAUUUAUCGCCAAAAGAUUAGCCCGCACUAGAUUAGCUAGUUGGUAAGGUAAUGGCUUACCAAGGCGACGAUCUAUAGCUGGUCUGAGAGGAUGAUCAGCCACACUGGGACUGAGACACGGCCCAGACUCCUACGGGAGGCAGCAGUGGGGAAUAUUGGACAAUGGGCGAAAGCCUGAUCCAGCAAUGCCGCGUGAGUGAUGAAGGCCUUAGGGUUGUAAAGCUCUUUUACCCGGGAUGAUAAUGACAGUACCGGGAGAAUAAGCCCCGGCUAACUCCGUGCCAGCCGCCGCAGUAACAC
rnacentral:rRNA from 1 species